GACGAACGCUGGCGGCGUGCUUAACACAUGCAAGUCGAACGGAAAGGCCCUGCUUUUGUGGGGUGCUCGAGUGGCGAACGGGUGAGUAACACGUGAGUAACCUGCCCUUGACUUUGGGAUAACUUCAGGAAACUGGGGCUAAUACCGGAUAGGAGCUCCUGCUGCAUGGUGGGGGUUGGAAAUUUUCGGCGGUUGGGGAUGGACUCGCGGCUUAUCAGCUUGUUGGUGGGUUAGUGGCUUACCAAGGCUUUGACGGGUAGCCGGCCUGAGAGGGUGACCGGCCACAUUGGGACUGAGAUACGGCCCAGACUCCUACGGGAGGCAGCAGUGGGGAAUAUUGCACAAUGGGCGGAAGCCUGAUGCAGCAACGCCGCGUGCGGGAUGACGGCCUUCGGGUUGUAAACCGCUUUCGCCUGUGACGAAGCGUGAGUGACGGUAAUGGGUAAAGAAGCACCGGCUAACUACGUG
rnacentral:rRNA from 1 species